AGAGUUUGAUCCUGGCUCAGGAUGAACGCUGGCGGCGUGCCUAAUACAUGCAAGUCGAGCGGCAGCGCGGUCUUCGGACUGGCGGCGAGCGGCGGACGGGUGAGUAACGCGUAGGAAUGUACCCCAGAGUGAGGGAUAAGCAUCGGAAACGGUGUCUAAUACCGCAUAAUCUCUUCGGAGCAAAGCUUUUAGCGCUUUGGGAACAGCCUGCGUAAGAUUAGCUAGUUGGUGAGGUAAAGGCUCACCAAGGCGACGAUCUUUAGCUGGUCUGAGAGGAUGAUCAGCCACACUGGAACUGAGACACGGUCCAGACUCCUACGGGAGGCAGCAGUAAGGAAUCUUCCACAAUGGGCGAAAGCCUGAUGGAGCAACGCCGCGUGCAGGAUGAAUGCCUUCGGGUUGUAAACUGCUUUUGUUAGCGAAGAAUAUGACGGUAACUAACGAAUAAGGAACGGCUAACUACGUGCCAGCAGCCGCGGUCAUACGUAGGUUCCGAGCGUUAUCCGGAGUGACUGGGCGUAAAGAGUUGCGUAGGCGGCUCGUAAAGCAGAUAGUGAAACCAUGUGGCUCAACCAUUAUGACUAUUAUCUGAACUCACGAGCUCGAGAGUAGUAGAGGUACCUGGAAUUUCUAGUGUAGGGGUGAAAUCCGUAGAUAUUAGAAGGAACACCAAUGGCGUAGGCAGGGUACUAGACUAUUUCUGACGCUGAGGCACGAAAGCGUGGGGAGCGAACCGGAUUAGAUACCCCGGUAGUCC
rnacentral:rRNA from 1 species